GUCCACAUCGACGGGAAGGUUUGGCACCUCGAUGUCGGCUCUUCGCCACCUGGAGCUGUAGGUGGUUCCAAGGGUUGGGCUGUUCGCCCAUUAAUGCGGUACGUGAGCUGGGUUCAGAACGUCGUGAGACAGUUCAGUCCAUGUCCGGUGUGGGCAUUAGAGCAUUGAGAGGACCUUUCCCUAGUACGAGAGGACCGGGAAGGAUGCACCUCCGGUGUAGCAGGUAUCGUGCCUACGGUAAACGCCGGGCAGGCG
rfam:Hordeum vulgare subsp. vulgare, WGS project CAJW01000000 data, contig: morex_contig_670925